CGCGCAGGUGGUUUCUUAAGUCUGAUGUGAAAGCCCACGGCUCAACCGUGGAGGGUCAUUGGAAACUGGGAGACUUGAGUGCAGAAGAGGAUAGUGGAAUUCCAAGUGUAGCGGUGAAAUGCGUAGAGAUUUGGAGGAACACCAGUGGCGAAAGCGGCUCUCUGGCCUGUAACUGACACUGAGGCUGAAAGCGUGGGGGAGCAAACA
rnacentral:rRNA from 1 species